UUUCUUUUUCUUUUUCUAUUGUAUUUCUUAUCUGCCGUCUUGUUUUGUCUCCAACUAGAGUCACAUGUGCUACCUAAAUUUAUUAGCUUUUAUAUAGUUAUUAUAGGUAGCCUUUACUCCAAUUUCUGUAUUUGUAAUUGUUGUUGUGUUUUUCAAAUUCGCACUAUGUAAUGAAAGAGUAUAAAAAUAAAUUAUCUUAUCUUAAUUAUCUGCUAGUGAAUUCAGCGCAAUAUGCUUUGCGUGCGGUGGUUUCCUUCUCUGUCUGCUGGCAUUUCAUAAUCAAG